CUGACUGCUAUCGGAUUGGUACUAAGCCAUGUGAGUCAUUGUAGCAAUACAAGGCAGACGGCUCAGUAACACGUAGUCAAUCUACCCUAUGGACGGGGAUAACCUCGGGAAACUGAGGAAAAAACCCGAUAGAUCAUAGUGCCUGGAACGGCUUAUGGUCCAAAUAAUUCGUCGCCGUAGGAUGGGACUGCGGCCUAUCAGCUUGUUGGUGAGGUAAUGGCCCACCAAGGCUAUUACAGGUACGGGCUCUGAGAGGAGAAGCCCGGAGUUGGGUACUGAGACACGGACCCAGGCCCUAUGGGGCGCAGCAGGCGAGAAACCUUUGCAAUGUGCGCAAGCACGACAAGGUUAAUCCGAGUGUUUCCUGCUAAAGGAAUCUUUUGUUAGUUUUAAAAUCACUAUUGAAUAAGGGGUGGGCAAGUUCUGGUGUCAGCCGCCGCGGUAAAACCAGCACCUCAAGUGGUCAGGAGGAUUAUUGGGCCUAAAGCAUCCGUAGCCUGUUCUGUAAGUUUCCGGUUAAAUCCAUUAGCUCAACUAAUGGGCUGCCGAAAAUACUGCAGAACUAGGGAGUGGGAGAGGUAGACGGUACUCGGUAGGAAGGGGUAAAAUCCUUUGAUCUAUUGAUGACCACCUGUGGCGAAGGCGGUCUACCAGAACACGUUCGACGGUGAGGGAUGAAAGCUGGGGGAGCAAACCGGAUUAGAUACCCGGGUAGUCCCAGCUGUAAACGAUGCAGACUCGGUGAUGCGCUGGCUUGUGGCCAGUGCAGUGCCGCAGGGAAGCCGUUAAGUUUGCCGCCUGGGAAGUACGUACGCAAGUAUGAAACUUAAAGGAAUUGGCGGGGGAGCACCACAAGGGGUGAAGCCUGCGGUUCAAUUGGAUUCAACGCC
rnacentral:rRNA from 1 species